ensembl:lincRNA
ACUUUUGGGUGCAGCACUCAAGGCUUCUGGGAAAGAUAAAUCCAAACAAAAUGGUGCCACCAGAGCAACCUCUACACCAUGCUUCAUGCACAGGAAAGAAGGAUGCUGGGCAUGAGCCUGUCCCAAACCAUGGCCACCACCAAGACUUUGUCUCCUCUGCAACCAGGAGGGUCACUGGAACUACAACUGCCCUGUCUGCCAGAGAGCAGGAGCAUGGAGACUGUCCCAGGGACCAUGUCAUCCUGCCAUACCUGUACCAGCCAGCACCAUGACCUGGAAUCAGAAGAAAGAAGCCUGGAAACAAGGCCAGGAGAAA